rnacentral:rRNA from 1 species
AUGCACGCUGGCGGCGUGCCUCAUCCAUGCAAGUCGCGCGAACAGACGAGGAGCUUGCUCCUCUGACGUUAGCGGCGGACGGGUGAGUAACACGUGGAUAACCUACCUAUAAGACUGGGAUAACUUCGGGAAACCGGAGCUAAUACCGGAUAACAUGUUGAACCGCAUGGUUUAACAGUGAAAGACGGUCUUGCUGUCACUUAUAGAUGGAUCCGCGCCGCAUUAGCUAGUUGGUAAGGUAACGGCUUACCAAGGCAACGAUGCGUAGCCGACCUGAGAGGGUGAUCGGCCACACUGGAACUGAGACACGGUCCAGACUCCUACGGGAGGCAGCAGUAGGGAAUCUUCCGCAAUGGGCGAAAGCCUGACGGAGCAACGCCGCGUGAGUGAAGAAGGUCUUCGGAUCGUAAAACUCUGUUAUUAGGGAAGAACAAAUGUGUAAGUAACUAUGCACGUCUUGACGGUACCUAAUCAGAAAGCCACGGCUAACUACGUG